ACGCAGAGGCAGAGGCGAGGAGUACGCAGAGGCAGAGGCAGACCUGAAGCAGGAGGAGAACGUGCACAAAUAAGAAGAGGACCAAACUUAUCAAAUGGCAUUCGUGCAACACUAGUGGACCAUGUUGUGAACCACGGAUUGACGCUGAGGGAGGCUGGACUGAGAGUUCAACCAAAUCUUAGCAGAUAUACAGUGGCAUCUGUCAUAAGGACUUUUCGACAGGAAAACAGGAUUGAGGGUCGGGAACGACAAGGAGGAAGGGGGCCCAUAUUCACGCAAGAACAAGAGAGAGAUAUAAUACAGUUUUUCUCAAUUGUUUACACACACAUUCUGGUACUUGAGACACAAUGACCGCAACAUGUAACUCAUUCACCAACCCCCUGAACCAAUUCUGCUAAACUACAAGCACAAUUCCUGCUUUAAACUUAAAUUGCAGUUCUAAAACACACUUUUUUCAAAACACUACACACAAUUCUCUGCUUUUGGCACAAUUUUCAUGCAGAAAAUAUCUUGUUUUCACAAGGAACACACUGCCAUUCAAAUAUGCACACUGACUCAUCACAAGGGCAAACACCCGUCACACAGUUUUACAAUUAGCAUUCAGAGCUUUAGCAUAAAAGGGCAACAGGUGAGCUAUUCAAUGGAGCAAUGUAUGCCAACAUUGGAAACAGAGGCAGAGUAAGAGGAGGACGAGGACGAGGAAGGCCAAGGACUGUAAUCUCUGAGAUCCGAGCCACUUUGGUUGAUCAUGUGGUCAACCAUGGUCUAACAAUGAGGGAGGCUGGGCAAAGAGUACAGCCAAAUCUGAGCAGGUACACUGUAGCAUCCAUCAUCCGGACUUUCCGAAAUGAGAAUAGGUAAGAAAUCUACUCUCACUAGAAAAUUGCAGUACUGCAUAUCAAUACAGUACUCAAUGAGUACAGUAGUACAGUAUUGCCUGUGGACUGUUCUGUAGGACUGUAAAAAUACUGUAAAGUAUGUUUCUAGUAUUUAGGAAAUGUAUACCUACUUUGUAUUUACAGUAUUUUACUAUUUGUUUGGCAGAACUGAAAGAUUACCAACACAAGGUGGUCGGGAACAUGUUCUGUCUAACAGGAAACUGAAAUCAUAAACAUGGUCCUAGAAAACAACGCCAUAACAUUACAGCAAAUACAAAGAAAAAUAAUAGAAAACAAUGACAUAUUUCAAAAUAUUGCUAGGGUAAGCUUAUCAACACUGGACCGUGUCUUGCGCAGAAAUCAUCUCAGGAUGAAGCAGGUCUACAGGGUGCCAUUUGAACACAAUUUAGAAAGAGUCAAAGAAUUGCGAUAUAACUAUGUGCAAGUGAGUCCCACAAUUGUUGCAUACACUCCACUGUAUACAGUAAAUUAUACAUAUUUCAGUAUUGUAAUCAUAAUGAUUGUGCUUCACAAUAGUGACCACUCAUGUCUAUUUCUGAUAUUGUCAUGAGUGUUUCAGAGAGUCCUUGAGCUAGAGGUGGCUGCAGUGGAGCACCAGUCUUCAUUGAUGAGGUUGGGUUCAACCUCACAAAAAGACGAAAGAGGGGAAGGAAUAUCAUCGGCCAGCGUGCCAUUGUUGAAGUCCCUGGCCAGCGCGGAGGGAACAUCACAAUGUGUGCAGCGAUUACCCACCACAGCGUCAUCCAUCACCAUGCUACCCUUGGCCCCUACAACACCGCCCAUCUGAACACAUUCCUGGACACCCUACACAACACACUCAUUCCACCAGAUCAGGUAGAUGGCCCAGAGCAGCUCAGGUACGUUGUCAUUUGGGACAACGUAAGUUUCCACAGGGCUGCUCUGGUUCGUAACUGGUUCACUGCCCACCCACGCUUUUUAGUUGUUUAUCUCCCUCCAUAUUCUCCAUUCCUCAAUCCUAUUGAGGAAUUUUUUUCUGUGUUGGGAAUGGGAUGUACACUGUGUACAUUGUUUUUGUGGGAAAAAUAAAAUGUAUUUGUUACCGUGUAUUUGUGUGUUCUGAGUAUAAAACAAUAUUCUCAAAUAUUUUACAACACACUUAUGUAUGUACUCUCUGUAGUAAGUGUAAUACUGAACAAAAAAAAAAGGCCUGAGUCAUUAUGAUGAAUGGAGAAGUGUUUUCCAUUCAUCAUAGUGUUUUACAUUGAGCACAUCAGUGUUCAACUGGUUCUUAUAAAUGUCUAUUCAUAUGAUGGUUUGUGUGUGUCAUUUGAAAACAAAAUACCAUUUUGAGAAGAAAUAACAUUGUUUUGAAUGUAAAGUUUCAUUUUGCAGGAGAAUUGAGGGGUUUUGCCCAUUUUGUGUGUGUGUUUUGAUUUGUGUGUAGAGUUCUGAGAAUAUGAGGCAUUCUUUCAGAAAAUGUGUGUAAACAAUCGAGAAAAACUGUAAACAUGGUUUUGGCCAAAAAUGCUAUCAGGCUCUGAGAACUACAAGCCAACAUUAUCGGUAACCAUGCCAUUUUCAAUAAUGUCCAUCAGGUCUGUCAACACUGAAAAGACAUCAGGUUCAAAUGAAACAACUUUAUCGAGUGCCUUUUUGAGCGGAAUUUAGAGAGGGUCAAACGGCUGCGGCAUGAGUAUGUGGAGAGAGUUUUGCAGAUGGAUGCUGAGGAAAUCCUGCAUGUAUUCAUAUAUAUUGAUGAGGCAGGGUUCAACCUCACAAAAGCAAGAAGGAGAGGCAGAAAUAUCAUUGGCCACAGGGCUAUAAUCAAUGUCCCAGGGCAACGUGGGGGUAACAUCACCCUUUGCGCUGCCAUUUCACAGCAUGGGGUUGUCCUCUGUCAUGCCAAAAUGGGCCCUUACAACACACCUCACAUUUUUGGACUGAUUGCACCACAUCGUCACAGCAGGUAAUGAAAUGCACCAGAUGCAAUACACGGUCAUCUGGGACAAUGUGUCAUUCCUCCACUCCGCUUUGGUCCAGAACUGGUUUCAACACCAUCCACAGUUGACAGUACUAUACCUUCCACCAUACUCUCUGUUUCUAAACCCUAUCGAAGAGUUUUUCUCUGCAUGGCUGUGGAAGGUUUACGAUCUCCAGCCCCAGGCUCAGGUACCCCUCAUUCAGGCCAUGGAGGACGCCUGUGACCAAGUCGACGCCGCAGCUGUGCAAGGAUGGAUUCGACAUCCAUUCGUUGUCUUGCUAAUAACGAUAUUGCUUGUGAUGUUGAUGAAAUUCUCUGGCCAGAUCCAGCUAGGCGAAGAGAUGAUGUGUAGUAUGUUUACUGUAGUAUUGUCUGUACAAUAUUGACAGUUUUUUUCAGAUUAUUUUUUUAUGUUGUUUGUUAUUUACUGUAAUUGUAACCUGUACUGGAUAGAGUAUUUUACGUUUGUAUGUUGUUUGCUGAGCUAACAGUGUUAUGCACACUACUGUAGUAGCAUGAAAACUGGGACAUGUUUUGUUGUGAUUCUCCAUGUUGACUGAUUUGGGUAUAUGGAGAGAAAUAAAUUAUAUUUUCCUCAGUCUGCAGCAUUGGUCUUGUGUAGUAUUUGUAUAGUUGUACUUUCUCUGUGUACUUCAUUUACAGUACUCUAAUCACUGACAAUUAGACUUGCUAAAAGUGUUUUAGGUUAGCAACAGCAGUGUGUAACUGGUUCAAAAAGACUGAAGUCAUAUGAAAUGUGUGUGUUUCGUAUGGUAACAAAAUAUUCUUUUUAUGAAGUAGUGUAUAGUUUUGACAAAAUUGUUCCAUUUUGCAAAUUAUCUGAAGUGUUGUGCUACUUUGGUUUAGGGUUGUGCUAAUUGUGUGUACU